ensembl:lncRNA
CCCCCGCCCACUUGAACACAAAUAAGCUGAAGUUAAACCGGUCAAUUGCUGAUGUCAGGGUUGGAAAAUGCUAUCGCGCUAUUUUUUUACAUAACAAAAUUGCUAUUUAACUUGAGUUGGACACUUGCGCCUCCUUACCGCCAGCCAAAAAUGUAGGAAUAUGUCUAAUUAGGAUUUCAAUAACCUAUAUUGUAUAUAUAAAUAAAACUGAUCGGUUCAAAGAGGUAAUGUUUUGGGAGUCAGAAGGUUGUUACCGUAUGAAAGGAAGAAUGGCUGUGACUGGAGAUCUGUUGGGUUCACCAGUAUCAGAUCUUGUUCCCAGAUCCACUUGUGUUUCCAGGCUCCAAGAUCCAAGACGGUUUACUGUUGGGAUCCAACAGCAGCUGUUUUGUCUGUUACAACAACAAACCAUCUUUAGUUUCACACCACUGGUUGUUGUAACCACUCCGUCCUCUGCUGCUGCUGUCAAUUGUGCCUCGGACAUCUUUGAUGGAAGAGCCGCAGUUCCCCGAGGAACAAUACCAGCGAGAGUAAUCACACCAAUCAUGUGUAUUCUUGUAGCGUAAAUCCACCUGGAGAACAGAAAGUCACAUUGUAAUGGGGGCAAUAAAACAUCAUUAGACUGAUGAAGUUUGAUUAACGCUGUUGUUUUGGAACAGCUUUGGCAGAUUUGAACUAGCAAGCUAUCGGUUACUAGUCCAAUGCUCUAACCACUAGGCUACGCUACCGACCGGUUCUUUGAAUCUACUGUUACAUUUCUCUAAUGGCAAAACGUCUGCAACCUGUUGAAACAUGCUUUAGUUGAAAAGUGGGUGGUUUGUCAUUUUUUUUCUCCAAAAUACAAUAAUAAAUGUAUCUGCAAAGUAGGGAAUUGUUAUCAACAGCAACCUUAGCUUGUCCGAGUCAAGCGUGGCAUUUGUCAUGUAAUUAAGGAGGUAACGGCUUGGAGAUUGUUCUAAGUCCAUGUCUAAUAUGAUCUGAGUGGCUGUAUGGAUAGAGCGCCAGAAAUACACUAACUUACUGCAAUGACAGAACCGGUGCACAACGGUUCCUUUCUCUGUCCUACACACAUGCACCAUAUCUGCUAAGAGUUUAGACCAGUGAAACAUGUUCAUCUGUUAUUUUCAGACUGAAUAAAACAUAACAAAUGGAAAAACAAACACAUUUAGAUUAAAUUAAAUUAACUUGUGUUAUUUAUUCCCUUCUGAAAAUACCAGGUGCUCAUUUUGCAUUGAUGCAAAAGCUGAAAACAUCUCUAAUGUAUACAUUCUACAGCCUCUUAUGUCUCAUUCAUUUGAAAAGAACAAAACUUUGCACACCAUUAAUUAAAGCAUAAAUACUCAUAUGCUAU